GAUGAACGCUGGCGGCGUGCCUAAUACAUGCAAGUCGAGCGAACAGACGAGGAGCUUGCUCCUCUGACGUUAGCGGCGGACGGGUGAGUAACACGUGGAUAACCUACCUAUAAGACUGGGAUAACUUCGGGAAACCGGAGCUAAUACCGGAUAAUAUAUUGAACCGCAUGGUUCAAUAGUGAAAGACGGUUUUGCUGUCACUUAUAGAUGGAUCCGCGCCGCAUUAGCUAGUUGGUAAGGUAACGGCUUACCAAGGCAACGAUGCGUAGCCGACCUGAGAGGGUGAUCGGCCACACUGGAACUGGGACACGGUCCAGACUCCUACGGGAGGCAGCAGUAGGGAAUCUUCCGCAAUGGGCGAAAGCCUGACGGAGCAACGCCGCGUGAGUGAUGAAGGUCUUCGGAUCGCAAAACUCUGUUAUUAGGGAAGAACAAAUGUGUAAGUAACUAUGCACGUCUUGACGGUACCUAAUCAGAAAGCCACGGCUAACUACGUG
rnacentral:rRNA from 1 species